CCUCUUCUCCCUUUCAUUUGGCAAUCAGGAACACCUGAGUAAAUAUUUAGUUGUCAGCUGUCUGUAAUUGGCCAGCCUUAGAUUAUCUGUCUUGUAAAACUUUAUAAGAAGCUAAAACACAAUUGCCAGGCAGAGGUUUAUUUUAACAUUUUCUUAUUGGAGGUUCUUAGUAGGAAAAUGGCUGUGAUAGUUAGACUUCCUUUGAGGUGACUAUGAAUAUAUUCAACAAGUUACAUCAAAACCAACCAGCUCAAAUACUCCAGGUGAAGUAAACUGGCACAACGUAUCACAACAGUCUCCCUUUCUCUGUCAGAACCUUGAUUCAAGUGUGCCAGCUCUUCCAAAUACUUCAGCUACAACUAGCUUUAACUCCUCGGCAGUAUCAACUGGCUCCCAUGACUCAACAGCAGAAGCAACGAUCAACUAAGUUUCAGGAAAUGUGAUGGGAGGUCCCAUCAAAAAUAUAUUUGUUUUCUGAAUUUGAAAUACUUGUACUAAUAUAUUUCUAUCAACAAAGUCUAAUGGUUAAUUCUUCCAUGAGUGGCUGGUUUUGUCAUCUGCUUGAAUCAGCCAGGGAUUUGGUGUCCAUUGGGUAAAUCUAGAUGGGUCCCACUUUGAAGAAAACAUUAGCGGGGGCCUAAUUGAAUACAAAAUGGAGACAUGACCUCACCUCUGCUGUCUUUGUGUUGUACAAUAAAAGCUCAUCUUAAAAGUGCCUCAUUGUGUUUUAGGAUUUGGUGCUUGUGUUUGACUAGCUUUUUUGGGAACAGAUGCAAUAGGUUGUCAGUGUUUGAAUGUUUUGAUUCAUGUUUCCAAACAGGGCAUGCUGGCAGCAAGAAAUGGUAACUAGAGAAUCUAGCAAGUUGGGUCAGUGUUUUCUGAAGACAGGUCAUAUUGUUGUAGGCAGUCCAAUUUGGGACAGACUGUUUAACAGUAGCUCAUGUAUAAAGAGCUGCGGUUUGCCUAGAUGUGUCCCCAAAUAGAAAGCCUGAUUUUAUCAAUAAACAUGGGAUUGAAGAUUGCUUCUAGUGCUGCCCAUACAUAUACUGAUUCUAUUGUUGGGGACAAAGUGGGAUGUUAUUUAAAUGUGUUGUCAUGCAAGCUGGAAAGUAACCCAAAUCUGAAGUAUUCGGUGUUUACUUUUUGACACCCUUCCUAGUUUGAGCAAGG
ensembl:lncRNA